rnacentral:rRNA from 2 species
UGAGGAAUAUUGCGCAAUGGGGGAAACCCUGACGCAGCAACGCCGCGUGGGCGAUGAAGGCCUUCGGGUCGUAAAGCCCUUUUCUGAGGGAAGAGGAAGGACGGUACCUCAGGAAUAAGCCUCGGCUAACUACGUGCCAGCAGCCGCGGUAAAACGUAGGAGGCAAGCGUUAUUCGGAUUUACUGGGCGUAAAGCGCGUGCAGGCGGUUCUGCAAGUCGGACGUUAAAUCUCCUGGCUCAACUGGGAGGGGUCGUUCGAAACUGCGGGACUUGAGGUUGGGAGAGGGAAGCGGAAUUCCCGGUGUAGUGGUGGAAUGCGUAGAUAUCGGGAGGAACACCAGUGGCGAAAGCGGCUUCCUGGCCCACACCUGACGCUAAGACGCGAAAGCGUGGGGAGCGAACGGG